CCUACGGGGGGCUGCAGUGAGGAAUAUUGGUCAAUGGGCGCGAGCCUGAACCAGCCAAGUCGCGUGAGGGAAGACGGUCCUAUGGAUUGUAAACCUCUUUUGUCGGGGAGCAAAAGACGCCACGCGUGGCGUUCCGAGAGUACCCGACGAAAAAGCAUCGGCUAACUCCGUACCAGCAGCCGCGGUAAUACGGGGGAUGCGAGCGUUAUCCGGAUUUAUUGGGUUUAAAGGGUGCGCAGGCGGAAGAUCAAGUCAGCGUUAAAAUUUGGGGGCUCAACCCCUUCGAGCCGUUGAAACUGGUUUUCUUGAGUGAGCGAGAAGUAUGCGGAAUGCGUGGUGUAGCGGUGAAAUGCAUAGAUAUCACGCAGAACUCCGAUUGCGAAGGCAGCAUACCGGCUCCAUACUGACGCUGAGGCACGAAAGCGUGGGGAUCGAACAGGAUUAGAUACCCUAGUAGUC
rnacentral:rRNA from 1 species